rnacentral:rRNA from 1 species
UAGGGAAUCUUCCACAAUGGACGCAAGUCUGAUGGAGCAACGCUGCGUGAGUGAAGAAGGUCUUCGGAUCGUAAAGCUCUGUUGUUGGUGAAGAAGGAUAGAGGCAGUAACUGGUCUUUAUUUGACGGUAAUCAACCAGAAAGUCACGGCUAACUACGUGCCAGCAGCCGCGGUAAUACGUAGGUGGCAAGCGUUGUCCGGAUUUAUUGGGCGUAAAGCGAGCGCAGGCGGAAUGAUAAGUCUGAUGUGAAAGCCCACGGCUCAACCGUGGAACUGCAUCGGAAACUGUCAUUCUUGAGUGCAGAAGAGGAGAGUGGAACUCCAUGUGUAGCGGUGGAAUGCGUAGAUAUAUGGAAGAACACCAGUGGCGAAGGCGGCUCUCUGGUCUGCAACUGACGCUGAGGCUCGAAAGCAUGGGUAGCGAACAGGAUUAGAUACCCUGGUAGUCCAUGCCGUAAACGAUGAGCGCUAGGUGUU